rnacentral:tRNA from 1 species
GGGGAGGUGGCGGAAUCGGUAGACGCAUCGGACUUAAAAUCCGAAGGGCGAACAGCCCGUGGGGGUUCGAGCCCCCCCCUCCCUACCA